GGGUUGUGAGGUUAAGCGACUAAGCGUACACGGUGGAUGCCCUGGCAGUCAGAGGCGAUGAAGGACGUGCUAAUCUGCGAAAAGCGCCGGCGAGGUGAUAUGAACCUUUGACCCGGCGAUGUCCGAAUGGGGAAACCCAGUGUGUUCCGACACACUAUCGUUAACUGAAUACAUAGGUUAACGAGGCGAACCGGGGGAACUGAAACAUCUAAGUACCCCGAGGAAAAGAAAUCAACCGAGAUUCCCCCAGUAGCGGCGAGCGAACGGGGAGCAGCCCAGAGUCUGAAUCAGCUUGUGUGUUAGUGGAAGCGUCUGGAAAGUCGCACGGUACAGGGUGACAGUCCCGUACACGAAAGCACACAGGCUGUGAACUCGAAGAGUAGGGCGGGACACGUGGUAUCCUGUCUGAAUAUGGGGGGACCAUCCUCCAAGGCUAAAUACUCCUGACUGACCGAUAGUGAACCAGUACCGUGAGGGAAAGGCGAAAAGAACCCCGGCGAGGGGAGUGAAAAAGAACCUGAAACCGUGUACGUACAAGCAGUGGGAGCCUCUUUAUGGGGUGACUGCGUACCUUUUGUAUAAUGGGUCAGCGACUUAUAUUCUGUAGCAAGGUUAACCGUAUAGGGGAGCCGAAGGGAAACCGAGUCUUAACUGGGCGUUAAGUUGCAGGGUAUAGACCCGAAACCCGGUGAUCUAGCCAUGGGCAGGUUGAAGGUUGGGUAACACUAACUGGAGGACCGAACCGACUAAUGUUGAAAAAUUAGCGGAUGACUUGUGGCUGGGGGUGAAAGGCCAAUCAAACCGGGAGAUAGCUGGUUCUCCCCGAAAGCUAUUUAGGUAGCGCCUCGUGAAUUCAUCUUCGGGGGUAGAGCACUGUUUCGGCUAGGGGGCCAUCCCGGCUUACCAACCCGAUGCAAACUACGAAUACCGAAGAAUGUUAUCACGGGAGACACACGGCGGGUGCUAACGUCCGUCGUGAAGAGGGAAACAACCCAGACCGCCAGCUAAGGUCCCAAAGUCAUGGUUAAGUGGGAAACGAUGUGGGAAGGCACAGACAGCCAGGAUGUUGGCUUAGAAGCAGCCAUCAUUUAAAGAAAGCGUAAUAGCUCACUGGUCGAGUCGGCCUGCGCGGAAGAUGUAACGGGGCUAAACCAUGCACCGAAGCUGCGGCAGCGACGCUUAUGCGUUGUUGGGUAGGGGAGCGUUCUGUAAGCCGUUGAAGGUGUCCUGUGAGGGGUGCUGGAGGUAUCAGAAGUGCGAAUGCUGACAUAAGUAACGAUAAAGCGGGUGAAAAGCCCGCUCGCCGGAAGACCAAGGGUUCCUGUCCAACGUUAAUCGGGGCAGGGUGAGUCGACCCCUAAGGCGAGGCCGAAAGGCGUAGUCGAUGGGAAACAGGUUAAUAUUCCUGUACUUGGUGUUACUGCGAAGGGGGGACGGAGAAGGCUAUGUUAGCCGGGCGACGGUUGUCCCGGUUUAAGCAUGUAGGCGGAGGUUCCAGGUAAAUCCGGUUCCUUAUUAACGCUGAGGUGUGAUGACGAGGCACUACGGUGCUGAAGUAACAAAUGCCCUGCUUCCAGGAAAAGCCUCUAAGCAUCAGGUAACACGAAAUCGUACCCCAAACCGACACAGGUGGUCAGGUAGAGAAUACCAAGGCGCUUGAGAGAACUCGGGUGAAGGAACUAGGCAAAAUGGUGCCGUAACUUCGGGAGAAGGCACGCUGAUAUGUAGGUGAAGCCCCUGCGGGUGGAGCUGAAAUCAGUCGAAGAUACCAGCUGGCUGCAACUGUUUAUUAAAAACACAGCACUGUGCAAACACGAAAGUGGACGUAUACGGUGUGACGCCUGCCCGGUGCCGGAAGGUUAAUUGAUGGGGUUAGCGGUAACGCGAAGCUCUUGAUCGAAGCCCCGGUAAACGGCGGCCGUAACUAUAACGGUCCUAAGGUAGCGAAAUUCCUUGUCGGGUAAGUUCCGACCUGCACGAAUGGCGUAAUGAUGGCCAGGCUGUCUCCACCCGAGACUCAGUGAAAUUGAACUCGCUGUGAAGAUGCAGUGUACCCGCGGCAAGACGGAAAGACCCCGUGAACCUUUACUAUAGCUUGACACUGAACACUGGUCCUUGAUGUGUAGGAUAGGUGGGAGGCUUUGAAGCGUGGACGCCAGUCUGCGUGGAGCCAACCUUGAAAUACCACCCUUUAAUGGCUGGUGUUCUAACGUAGACCCGUAAUCCGGGUUGCGGACAGUGUCUGGUGGGUAGUUUGACUGGGGCGGUCUCCUCCCAAAGAGUAACGGAGGAGCACGAAGGUUAGCUAAUCCUGGUCGGACAUCAGGAGGUUAGUGCAAUGGCAUAAGCUAGCUUGACUGCGAGAGUGACGGCUCGAGCAGGUGCGAAAGCAGGUCAUAGUGAUCCGGUGGUUCUGAAUGGAAGGGCCAUCGCUCAACGGAUAAAAGGUACUCCGGGGAUAACAGGCUGAUACCGCCCAAGAGUUCAUAUCGACGGCGGUGUUUGGCACCUCGAUGUCGGCUCAUCACAUCCUGGGGCUGAAGUAGGUCCCAAGGGUAUGGCUGUUCGCCAUUUAAAGUGGUACGCGAGCUGGGUUUAGAACGUCGUGAGACAGUUCGGUCCCUAUCUGCCGUGGGCGCUGGAGAAUUGAGGGGGGCUGCUCCUAGUACGAGAGGACCGGAGUGGACGCAUCACUGGUGUUCGGGUUGUCAUGCCAAUGGCACUGCCCGGUAGCUAAAUGCGGAAGAGAUAAGUGCUGAAAGCAUCUAAGCACGAAACUUGCCCCGAGAUGAGUUCUCCCUGAGACUUUAAGUCUCCUGAAGGAACGUUGAAGACUACGACGUUGAUAGGUCGGGUGUGUAAGCGCAGCGAUGCGUUGAGCUAACCGAUACUAAUGAACCGUGAGGCUUAACCUUACAACGCCGAAG
rnacentral:rRNA from 2 species